CCUGGUGGCUCAGAUGGUAAAGCAUCUGCCUGCAAUGCAGGAGACCCAGGUUCAAUUCCUGGGUCAGGA
rnacentral:tRNA from 1 species